rnacentral:rRNA from 1 species
UCCGUAGGCGGGCAAUUAAGUCAGAGGUGAAAUCCCACAGCUCAACUAUGGAACUGCCUUUGAUACUGGUUGUCUUGAGUUACAGUGAAGUAGAUAGAAUAUGUAGUGUAGCGGUGAAAUGCAUAGAUAUUACAUAGAAUACCGAUUGCGAAGGCAGUCUACUAACUGUAUACUGACGCUAAUGGACGAAAGCGUGGGGAGCGAACAGGAUUAGAUACCCUGGUAGUCC